rnacentral:rRNA from 1 species
GACGAACGCUGGCGGCGUGCUUAACACAUGCAAGUCGAACGGUAAGGCCCUUCGGGGUACACGAGUGGCGAACGGGUGAGUAACACGUGGGUGAUCUGCCCUGCACUUCGGGAUAAGCCUGGGAAACUGGGUCUAAUACCGGAUAGGACUCCGGACUGCAUGGUCUGGGGUGGAAAGCUUUUGCGGUGUGGGAUGGGCCCGCGGCCUAUCAGCUUGUUGGUGGGGUGAUGGCCUACCAAGGCGACGACGGGUAGCCGGCCUGAGAGGGUGACCGGCCACACUGGGACUGAGAUACGGCCCAGACUCCUACGGGAGGCAGCAGUGAGGAAUAUUCCACAAUGGGGGAAACCCUGAUGGAGCGAUGCCGCGUGCAGGAAGACGCUUUUCGGAGUGUAAACUGCUUUUAAUAGGGAAGAUUGUGACGGUACCUAUAGAAUAAGGACCGGCUAACUACGUGCCAGCAGCCGCAGUAA